UGGGGAAUAUUGCACAAUGGGCGCAAGCCUGAUGCAGCAACGCCGCGUGAGGGAUGAAGGCCUUCGGGUUGUAAACCUCUUUUAGCAGGGAAGAAGCGAAAGUGACGGUACCUGCAGAAAAAGCACCGGCUAACUACGUGCCAGCAGCCGCGGUAAUACGUAGGGUGCAAGCGUUGUCCGGAAUUAUUGGGCGUAAAGAGCUCGUAGGCGGUUUGUCGCGUCUGCUGUGAAAAUCCAAGGCUCAACCUUGGACCUGCAGUGGGUACGGGCAGACUAGAGUGCGGUAGGGGAGAUGGGAAUUCCUGGUGUAGCGGUGGAAUGCGCAGAUAUCAGGAGGAACACCAAUGGCGAAGGCACAUCUCUGGGCCGUAACUGACGCUGAGGAGCGAAAGCGUGGGGAGCGAACAGG
rnacentral:rRNA from 1 species